UUCAAGCCUGUAGUGCACUAUGAUCAUGCCUGUGGAUAGCCAGCCUGGCAACAUAGCAAGAUCUUAUCACUACAAAACAAACAAAAAGAGGUUAGAAAAGGAACACAAAAUGUGAUGGUUAAUACUGAGUGUCAACUUGAUUGGAUCGAAGCAUACAAAGUAUUGUUCCUGAGUGUGUCUUUGGGAGUGUUGCCAAAGGAGAUUAACAUUUGAGUCAGUGGACUGGGAGAGGCUGACCCACCCUCAGUCUGGGUGGGCACCAUCUAAUCAGCUGCCAGCAUAAAAACAGAAAUGGAAAGAGCAGACUUGCUGAGUCUUCUGGCCUCCAUCUUUCUCCCGUGCUGGAUAUUUCUGCCCUCAAACAGCAGACUCCAAGUUCUUCAGCUUUUGGACUCUUGGACCUAUACCAGUGGUUCACCAAGGGCUCUUCAGCCUUCAGUCACAGACUGGAGGCUGCACUGUCAGCUUCUCUACUUUUGAGGUUUUGGGACUCAAACUGGCUUCCUUGCUCUUCAGCUUGCAAACAGCCUGUUGUGGGACUUCACCUUGUGACC
rnacentral:lncRNA from 10 species